GACGAACGCUGGCGGCGUGCCUAAUACAUGCAAGUCGAACGCUGAGGGGAGGAGCUUGCUCUUCCUGGGUUAGUUGCGAACGGGUGAGUAACGCGUGGGUAACCCACCUGUAAGCGGGGGAUAACUUUUGGAAACGGUAGCUAAUACCGCAUAAAAUUGUUUAUUGCAUGAUUGUCAAUUAAAAGAUGCAACUGCACCACUACCAGAUGGAACUGCGUUGUAUUAGCUUGUUUGGUGAGUUACGGGUUAACAAGGCGAAGAAUCAUAGCCGAACUGAGAGGGUGAUCCGCCACACUGGGACUGAGAAACGGCCCAGACUUCUACGGGGGGCAGCAGGAGGGAAUCCUCGGGAAAGGACGGAAGUCUGACCGAGCAACGCCGCGUGAGUGAAGAAGGGUUUCGGAUCGUAAAGCCCUGGUGUAAGGGAAGAACGAGAUGUGGAGGGGAAAGUGCACACUGUGACGGUACCUUACCAGAAAGGGACGGCUAACUACGUG
rnacentral:rRNA from 1 species